GUAGGUUUGUUUUUUGUUUUUUAAAGUAAAACUAUCUUGAGGAACUCCCGAGGGUGGCCAAUUCUGCCUUCAAGCAUCCUUAGUUUUUGACUCUAAAAGACGGAGGGCAUUCAUUUCUGUUAUUUACCUUUUAAUGAGCAAAUGUUUUCUCUAGCUCAAAACUUUUGCAAUUAGAUGUUCCAUUCAGAUCUAAUUACCCCAGAUCCAGGCCUAAGUCAUGCAUCAUAUGCUUGGCAACAGACCCCCUUCCACCCUUCCCCUUGAGGGUUUCCGGGGCACCAGCUGUUAGGCUUUGGGGAUCUCUAGUCGCUCUUGUCCUCUUUCAGUGCCCCACGGCCAUGCACUCUCUGGGCCCUGGAAGUCCUUCCAAGCGUCUUUCUUAUGCAUUUUUAUCUCAUUGCAUCGUUCCAUGCUGGCUCACUGUUCUCUUUGGCACUUGGAUGGCCGUUGGUGGAAGGGUCUUCCUUACCCGUCUCCCACUCCCUGACCUGGGAGUCGUUGUGACUGGAUCUCAUGGAAGUGGCCUGAGGAUGGAAUUUGGAACCACAAGAACGCAUGAGAUCAUCUAGCACGAGAAUAAGAGGAACCAGGGAGCUUAAUGUCAGUCCAGCUCCCCCCAGGAUUACAUCACCCAAUUUUAUUGGCCAUGGGUGAUCAACUCACCUUCAUCUCUCUGAUAUCAUGGAUUUGUUCCACUGUUUUAAGUGAAAGUUGAAGACUGGGAUAUUCCUUCGCAUGCCACACCCCAUGGAAGUGAAGGGAAGAGGCAAAACUCAAAUGGUCCGGCGCCCACUGGGAGCCUUGGAACUUAUGCCCCUCCGAUAUCAGGGGACAACUGUAUCUCCUAAUCAAGAAGUAUUUUGUAGAAAAGAAGAGGAAGCUUGAAGAAGGGAAAUAAUUUGUCUACAGCCACCCAAGUGCCAAAGAGCAGAG
rnacentral:lncRNA from 1 species